CGGAGGGUGCGAGCGUUGUCCGGAAUCAUUGGGCGUAAAGGGCGCGUAGGUGGCCCGGUCAGUUCGUGGUGAAAGCGCGGGGCUCAACUCCGCGUCGGCCAUGAAUACUGCGGGGCUGGAGCACUGUAGAGGCAGGCGGAAUUCCGGGUGUAGCGGUGGAAUGCGUAGAGAUCCGGAAGAACACCGGUGGCGAAGGCGGCCUGCUGGGCAGUUGCUGACACUGAGGCGCGACAGCGUGGGGAGCAAACAGGAUUAGAUACCCUGGUAGUCCACGCCGUAAACGAUGGGCACUAGGCGCUUGGGGGAGCGACCCCCCGAGGGCCGGCGCUAACGCAUUAAGUGCCCCGCCUGGGGAGUACGGCCGCAAGGCUG
rnacentral:rRNA from 1 species